rnacentral:RNase_P_RNA from 1 species
AUACUUGGGUGAUCGCUGCAUGUUUAAUGCAGAGGAAAGUCCAUGCUCGCACAGGCUGAGAUGCCUGUAGUGUUCAUGCCUGACGAAACCAUAAGUCAGGGUAGCCUGAUGGCUAACGGCAGGGAAAAUGCCUAAGUCCUUUUGGAUAUGGCAUUCCAACCUUGAAAGUGCCACAGUGACGUAGUCAAAGUAGAAAUGCUUUGAGUGGAACGAGGUAAACCCCAUGAGCGAGCAACCCAAAUGAAGGUAGGGGCACUCUUCGAAGGGAAAUGAACCUGACAAGAGGCAAGCGUAAUGCUUGCAGAUAGAUGAUUACCACCGGAGUACGAGGUUGACCACCGCUGGCAGUACGAUGGUACAGAACAUGGCUUACAAAG